GAUACCGCCCAAGAGUUCAUAUCGACGGCGGUGUUUGGCACCUCGAUGUCGGCUCAUCACAUCCUGGGGCUGAAGUCGGUCCCAAGGGUAUGGCUGUUCGCCAUUUAAAGUGGUACGCGAGCUGGGUUUAGAACGUCGUGAGACAGUUCGGUCCCUAUCUGCCGUGGGCGUUUGAGAAUUGAAGAGGGCUGCUCCUAGUACGAGAGGACCGGAGUGGACGAACCGCUGGUGUUCGAGUUGUCAUGCCAAUGGCAUUGCUCGGUAGCUACGUUCGGAACUGAUAACCGCUGAAAGCAUCUAAGCGGGAAACAGGCUUUAAGAUGAGUUCUCACUGGAGCUUUAAGCUCCCUAAAGGGUCGUUGGAGACUACAACGUUGAUAGGUCAGGUGUGUAAGGGCUGCGAAGUCUUGAGCUAACUGAUACUAAUUGCCCGUGAGGCUUAACCAU
rnacentral:rRNA from 1 species